UUCGCAAUGCCCGAAAGGGUGACGAAGCGACGCCGCGUGAGCGAAGAAGGCCUUAGGGUUGUAAAGCUCUGUCGAGGGUUAUGAAAUAUAGAUAGGUUAAUACCUUAUCUAUUUGACAAAGGCCCAAAAGGAAGCCACGGCUAACUCUGUGCCAGCAGCCGCGGUAAAACAGAGGUGGCAAGCGUUGUUCGGAAUUAUUGGGCGUAAAGAGCACGUAGGUGGUUUUGUAAGUCAGGUGUGAAAGCCUUCUGUUCAAAGGAAGAACGGCAUCUGAAACUGCGAAUCUUGAGUGUAGGAGGGGAGAGUGGAACUUCUGGUGGAGCGGUGAAAUGCGUAGAUAUCAGAAGGAACGCCGGUGGCGAAAGCGGCUCUCUGGCCUGUUACUGACGCUGAGUGCGCGAAAGCUAGGGGAGCAAACGGGAUUAGAUACCCCGGUAGUCCUAGCCGUAAACGAUGGGCACUAAGUAGAGGGGUUUU
rnacentral:rRNA from 1 species